rnacentral:rRNA from 1 species
GGAUCAUUAUAGAGUUUUCUAAACUCCCAACCCAUGUGAACUUACCUUUUGUUGCCUCGGCAGAAGUUAUAGGUCUUCUUAUAGCUGCUGCCGGUGGACCAUUAAACUCUUGUUAUUUUAUGUAAUCUGAGCGUCUUAUUUUAAUAAGUCAAAACUUUCAACAACGGAUCUCUUGGUUCUGGCAUCGAUGAAGAACGCAGCGAAAUGCGAUAAGUAAUGUGAAUUGCAGAAUUCAGUGAAUCAUCGAAUCUUUGAACGCACAUUGCGCCCAUUAGUAUUCUAGUGGGCAUGCCUGUUCGAGCGUCAUUUCAACCCUUAAGCCUAGCUUAGUGUUGGGAAUCUACUUCUCUUAGGAGUUGUAGUUCCUGAAAUACAACGGCGGAUUUGUAGUAUCCUCUGAGCGUAGUAAUUUUUUUCUCGCUUUUGUUAGGUGCUAUAACUCCCAGCCGCUAAACCCCCAAUUUUUUGUGGUUGACCUCGGAUCAGGUAGGAAUACCCGCUGAACUUAAGCAUAUCAAUAAGCGGAGGAAAAGAAACCAACAGGGAUUGCCUUAGUAACGGCGAGUGAAGCGGCAACAGCUCAAAUUUGAAAUCUGGCCCUUGGGUCCGAAUUGUAAUUUGUAGAGGAUGAUUUUGGUGCGGUAUCUUCCGAGUUCCUUGGAACAGGACGCCUUAGAGGGUGAGAGCCCCGUACGGUUGAAUGCCUAGCCUCUGUAAAUCUCCUUCGACGAGUCGAGUAGUUUGGGAAUGCUGCUCUAAAUGGGAGGUAAAUUUCUUCUAAAGCUAAAUAUUGGCCAGAGACCGAUAGCGCACAAGUAGAGUGAUCGAAAGAUGAAAAGCACUUUGAAAAGAGGGUUAAAUAGCACGUGAAAUUGUUGAAAGGGAAGGAUUUGUGACCAGACUUUUUCUGGGCGGAUCAUCCGGGGUUCUCUCCGGUGCACUUCGCCCAGUAAAGGCCAGCAUCGGUUUUCGGCGUGGGAUAAAAGCAGUAGGAAUGUGGCUCUCUANCGGGGAGUGUUAUAGCCUAUUGUAUAAUACCGCGCUGGGGACCGAGGU